GUAUUCAAUGAGGUUGCACUUGUUCCUGUAAAAAGGAAUAGUUUCGUUCAGGAUUUGAAAUUUUCCUAAGUUCUCUGUUUGGUGACAUGUAUAAACAGAGGUAGACUAUAAGGUUCCACCAUUCUUGAUUGAAAAUAGGGAACGUAACAUCAUCUAAUUUCAACCAAAUUUAUAUAUAUUUUUUUGAAGUCUAUCUAGGUAUGUUGCAGAGGCUUGAAAAUUCUAACCACAAAACACAACAGAAGAAUAACAUGGAAGUACUUUGCAACAUCACAUGUCAAAGGGCCUGUUGAUGGAGUUGGUGGUGUCAUCAAAUGCCAUGUGUUAAAAGUAGACUAUGUACUGUAAACAAUGCAAUGGACUUUGCUAUUGCAGUACAUCCAACUUCCAAGAUGACCGCUAUUCUCAUGGAUGAAGAAGACAUUCUUCAAAGAAGCAAGACAUUGAAACUUUCUUCAUUGCUUAGAAAUUGCAUAGCUUUUCACACAAUCAACAAAGUUCAUCACUUGGAACUCCUUAAUGGUGAAGUAACUGGGCAUAUGACAACAUCAGAAGCAAAAAAAGCAAAGGCUGGAGUAGAAAAACAGGGAAAUGAGCUUGAGUUGGAUGAUUGGUUGGUGGUAAAAUACGACAGUGAGCUUUAACCAGGAAUUGUAACCAGUACUAAAAAUGGUGAAUAUAAGGUUAAGGUUAUUGAGAAAGAUGGAAAGUUAUUGAAGUAGCGUACAAAUAAAGAUGAAAUAUAUAGCAAAGACAAGAUAAUCAGAUAAAUAAAUCCUCCAAAUUAACCCUCCUCCCGAUGUUACUUAAUUUUGAUAGUGAAAUGUGAUUAUGUAAUGUAAGUUACCACAUGCUGUAAUGUGAGCUAUCAAGUGUUUCUUUUUUAAAAGUUGUUUUAGAUUUCCCCAAAACUUACACAUUAAAAUGCUUUUUAGACUCCUAGAAGUUAUGAGUAAAAUUCAGGAGUACCUGGACUUAAGACAGAGCAGAAUUUCAUGUUUGUUAAAUGUCAUACGAAACUCGUUUCUUUAAAAUGUAAUGUGAGUUACCAGGAAUAAAAUUCAGAUUUUUUUGAUUAGGUAAUAAAAAAAAUAGCAA